GAUGAACGCUGGCGGCGUGCCUAAUACAUGCAAGUCGAGCGAACAGACGAGGAGCUUGCUCCUCUGACGUUAGCGGCGGACGGGUGAGUAACACGUGGAUAACCUACCUAUAAGACUGGGAUAACUUCGGGAAACCGGAGCUAAUACCGGAUAAUAUAUUGAACCGCAUGGUUAAAUAGUUAAAGACGAUUUUGCUGUCACUUAUAGAUGGAUCCGCGCCGCAUUAGCUAGUUGGUAAGGUAACGGCUUACCAAGGCAACGAUGCGUAGCCGACCUGAGAGGGUGAUCGGCCACACUGGAACUGAGACACGGUCCAGACUCCGACGGGAAGCAGCAGUAGGGAAUCUUCCGCAAUGGGCGAAAGCUUGACGGAGCAACGCCGCGUGAGUGAUGAAGGUCUUCGGAUCGUAAAACUCUGUUAUUAGGGAAGAACAAAUGUGUAAGUAACUAUGCACGUCUUGACGGUACCUGAUCAGAAAGCCACGGCUAACUACGUG
rnacentral:rRNA from 1 species